UCCCUAUGGGGUGCAGCAGGCGCGAAACCUUCACAAUGUGCGAAAGCGCGAUGAGGGGAUCCCAAGUGCUUGCACUUAAGUGUAAGCUGUUUCUUUGUUUAAAACGCAGAGAGAGGAAGGGCUGGGUAAGACGGGUGCCAGCCGCCGCGGUAAUACCUGCAGCUCAAGUGGUGACCGCUAUUAUUGGGCCUAAAACGUUCGUAGCCGGCUGAGUAAAUGCUUGGGUAAAUCGUGCCGCUUAACGGUACGAAUUCCGGGUAGACUGCUCAGCUUGAGACCGGGAGAAGCUAGAGGUACUCCUGGGGUAGAGGUGAAAUUCUGUAAUCCUGGGGGGACCACCAGUGGCGAAGGCGUCUAGCUAGAACGGGUCUGACGGUGAGGGACGAAACCCUGGGGCGCAAACCGGAUUAGAUACCCGGGUAGUCCAGGGCGCAAACGCUGCUUGCUUGAUGUUAGCUGGGCUCCGGGCUCAGCUAGUGUCGGAGAGAAGUUGUUAAGCAAGCUGCCUGGGAAGUACGAUCGCAAGAUUGAAACUUAAAGGAAUUGGCGGGGGAGCACAGCAACGGGUGGAGCGUGCGGUUUAAUUGGAUUCAACGCCGGAA
rnacentral:rRNA from 1 species